rnacentral:piRNA from 1 species
UCUGAAUCAGUCAUGCUCAAUGACG